rnacentral:rRNA from 1 species
CCUACGGGAGGCAGCAGUGAGGAAUAUUGGUCAAUGGGCGGAAGCCUGAACCAGCCAAGUAGCGUGCAGGAUGACGGCCCUACGGGUUGUAAACUGCUUUUAUACGGGAAUAACGCGCCUUACGUGUAGGGCUUUGCAUGUACCGUAUGAAUAAGGACCGGCUAAUUCCGUGCCAGCCGCCGCGGUAAUACGGUAGGUCCGGGCGUUAUCCGGAUUUAUUGGGUUUAAAGGGAGCGUAGGCCGGAUGUCAAGCGUGCUGUGAAAUGUCCGGGCGCAACCCGGGCCUUGCAGCGCGAACUGGCGUGCUUGAGUGCGCGGGAGGAAGGCGGAAGUCGUCGUGUAGCGGUGAAAUGCUUAGAUAUGACGAAGAACCCCGAUUGCGAAGGCAGCUUGCUGCAGCGGAACUGACGCUGAGGCUCGAAAGCGCGGGUAUCGAACAGGAUUAGAUACCCCAGUAGUC